rnacentral:misc_RNA from 1 species
UUGGACUACUCGGGUAUCUAAUCCUGUUCGCUACCCACGCUUUCGCUCCUCAGCGUCAGGAUAUUCCCAGAGAACCGCCUUCGCCACCGGUGUUCCUCCUGAUAUCUGCGCAUUUCACCGCUACACCAGGAAUUCCGUUCUCCCCUGAAUACCUCAAGUCUGCCCGUAUCGGAAGCACGCUCACAGUUAAGCUGUAAGUUUUCACUCCCGACGCGACAAACCGCCUACGAGCCCUUUACGCCCAAUAAUUCCGGACAACGCUCGGACCCUACGUAUUACCGCGGCUGCUGGCAC